rnacentral:rRNA from 1 species
GACGAACGCUGGCGGCGUGCUUAACACAUGCAAGUCGAACGGAAAGGCCCUGCUUUUGUGGGGUGCUCGAGUGGCGAACGGGUGAGUAACACGUGAGUAACCUGCCCUUGACUUUGGGAUAACUUCAGGAAACUGGGGCUAAUACCGGAUAGGAGCUCCUGCUGCAUGGUGGGGGUUGGAAAGUUUCGGCGGUUGGGGAUGGACUCGCGGCUUAUCAGCUUGUUGGUGGGGUAGUGGCUUACCAAGGCUUUGACGGGUAGCCGGCCUGAGAGGGUGACCGGCCACAUUGGGACUGAGAUACGGCCCAGACUCCCACGGGAGGCAGCAGUGGGGAAUAUUGCACAAUGGGCGGAAGCCUGAUGCAGCAACGCCGCGUGCGGGAUGACGGCCUUCGGGUUGUAAACCGCUUUCGCCUGUGACGAAGCGUGAGUGACGGCAAUGGGUAAAGAAGCACCGGCUAACUACGUG